rnacentral:rRNA from 1 species
GAAUAUUGGACAAUGGGGGGAACCCUGAUCCAGCCAUGCCGCGUGUGUGAAGAGGGCCUUUUGGUUGUAAAGCACUUUAAGCGAGGAGGAGGCUACUCUAGUUAAUACCUAGAGAUAGUGGACGUCACUCGCAGACAAAGCAACGGCUAACGCGGUGCAAGCAGCCGCGGUAAUACAGAGGGUGCAAGCGUUAAUCGGAUUUACUGGGCGUAAAGCGCGCGUAGGUGGCCAAUUAAGUCAAAUGUGAAAUCCCCGAGCUUAACUUGGGAAUUGCAUUCGAUACCGGUUGGCUAGAGUAUGGGAGAGGAUGGUAGAAUUCCAGGUGUAGCGGUGAAAUGCGUAGAGAUCUGGAGGAAUACCGAUGGCGAAGGCAGCCAUCUGGCCUAAUACUGACACUGAGGUGCGAAAGCAUGGGGAGCAAACA